rnacentral:lncRNA from 1 species
ACGAUCGAGAAAGCUAGGGUUUCAAGGGAGGGGAGAGAUCGAGGGGAUAAAGGGGAUCGAAGGAAAGGGGCGGAGAGGAGAGGAGAGGAGAGAUAGGGGAAGCAACCGGAUCGAAGCGGCGCAAGGAAUAAUAGGCGCUAUCGAAGAGGCAGGAGGUACAGGGUGGAGACGCGUAAGGAGAUGAAGUGGUGGAUUCAAUUAAGCUAAGACUUAAGGUAAUUAUGCCACGUGGAUUCAAUUACGGGGAUUAAUAGGUUUAUAUAGAUUGUUGUGAUUAAUGAUUUGUUUAAAUACUAAUUGAGGAGUAUUAAAUAGUUAUGGCAUGGUGAUUACGCGUAAAAUUUUUUUUUUUUGGAUUACAAAUGUAAAACAUUAAAUAGUAUUGCGAAAAUUUUGUGGCCAAAAAAUAAAUAGUAAUAAUUUGUUAUAUAAUAGUAAUAAAAUCUGAAAAUUCUAAAGUAAGCAAAAUUAAAAUUGGCCACAAAUUACACAUAACUAUUUAUGUCCAAAAAUAAAUUUUGUCAUAAAAUAUAUAAUAUUAUUUGUAGCCAUAUAGAAUUUUGCCAUAAUAUGUUUUAAACCUUGUAUGGCGAAAUGUCAAAUUUCAUCAUAAAAAUAACGAUACUAAAUACAGUAUAGUUAGAGAUGCAUGCAGUUGAAAAUACAACAGUUAUAACUACAUGAAUCUUGUUUGGCUGGAUGUAGUAGAAAGCGCUGCAAGUAUAAAUAAUUUAUUUGGUUACAUGCAGUUGAGAAAUAAUUUUUAAAAUUUUAUUAUUUUAUAUAUAUGAUGGUGAGAUUACCUCCAAUAUAAAAAAAAAAAAAUUUAUUUUAAAAAUAUUGAGGAGGUAAGCAUACCUUUUAUUUAAAGUUACUCUCUCCAAUUGCUGUAGUUGGAACUACGACCAAUUUGUGCGUAGUUCGAACUGCUGCAGUUGGGCCUCCUCCUGCAGGAAUUGGAGUUAAAUACAUUAAACGAAACACGAAAUUUGCAUUUAUAUGCAGUUACAACUGCAAUGCAGCUGCAACUAUAUGCAACCAAACGGCCCCUAUAUGUAGCCGAUAUUAAAAUUUGCCACAAUAUGUAAAGGAUUAUUU